ensembl:snoRNA
GGGGUCCCGGGAGCCAGGGGAGAUGCUGCCGCAGAAGCUGA